rnacentral:tRNA from 1 species
GGGCUCGUAGGCUAAUGGUAAGCCACCCGGCUUUUAACCGGAGGAUUGGGGGUUCGACUCCUCCCGGGCCCG